rnacentral:misc_RNA from 1 species
GAUGAAGAACGCAGCGAAAUGCGAUAAGUAAUGUGAAUUGCAGAAUUCAGUGAAUCAUCGAAUCUUUGAACGCACAUUGCGCCCCUUGGUAUCCCGAGGGGCAUGCCUGUUCGAGCGUCAUUUCACCACUCAAGCCUGGCUUGGUGUUGGGCGACGUCCCCUUUGGGGACGCGCCUCGAAACGCUCGGCGGCGUGGCACCGGCUUUAAGCGUAGCAGAAUCUUUCGCUUUGGAAGUCGGGGCCCCGUCUGCCGGAAGACCUACUCGCAAGGUUGACCUCGGAUCAGGCAGGGAUACCCGCUGAACUUAAGCAUAUCAAUAAGGGAGGA